rnacentral:snRNA from 13 species
UAACUUACUUGGCGCGGAGGACACCGUGAUCACGAAGGCGGUUCCUUCUGGGCGAGGCCCUUCCAUUGCACUUGGGUAGGGCUGAACCUUGCGAAUACUCCUAAUGUGGGUAUGUCGAGCGUACAAUUUUUGGUAGUCGGGACCUGCGUACGCGCUGUCCCGGA